CAGUGCUGAAAUUGAUUUCGCCCCCCACAUAGCUGCUCCUUCAACCUUCCAGUGACGUCUUUUCCUCAGUCAUGUGUUUUAGAGUGUUUUUGGAACCAUUAUUCCUGAAACAUCCUUUGAAGAAGGCUGGGAAAAAUAAUCUAGAAACAGAAAAUAUUUGCUAAAUAAGAAAGCCUCUCUUCCCCGCUGCACAUUCUUUCGUGAAGGUUCCUGGCACGCCCCAAGAUGUCCAACCUCUGACAUAUUCUUACCUGAAAGUACCUGCUAACUGGUCUUGUUACAUCUUCUCAAGGCAGGAUCACA